rnacentral:lncRNA from 1 species
AUAGGCUAAUUUCCUAAACUUAGCUUAGUUGCAAUUAGAAGGUGGUAACUCUUUCAGCCUUGUGAAUUAUGCAGCUACACUCAGAGUACACUGUACUAUUGUUGCAGUUUCCUUGUGCAGAUUCAGUGCUCUUGAUCCAUCAAGUUUGUCAAACUUUUCUCUCAGAUCCUCCCACACCUUACAAGUUGUAGUCCCAUACACCAUGCCUCUUAACAAAGAACUCAAUGCAGUGUUUGUCAAUCAAGAUUGCACUAUAUCAUUACAUCUUUCCUACUGGUAACCCAAUUCUUCACUAAAACUCUCUUUCUUCCAAGAACUAUCCAUAAAUCCCAACUUAAUUCUUUUCUAAAAAGAUAAUUUUUAUAAAUUUGCUCCAAAGAGAUUAGUUUUCAAAACCAGUAAGUUGUAAAGAGAUUGAGGAAAUAUGACUUACAUCAAUUGAGUGGAGAUACUGUGGGUGAUUAUGAUUGAAAGCUUGAGUAGCACCACUAGUUGCAAGGGUGACGCUACCAACACUUCUAGAAUCCAUCUUUCCCAAAAGUUAAAUGACACCUAACCUUCAAUUCUUGCGCUGCUUAACAAUUCUUGAUAAAAAAAAAAAUCUAACUGGAUGACUAAUGAUUGAAAUCAGAACUCAGAACCACGACUAAAUUUCCAUAGUAAUGACUAGAUAACUGCAGAAAUCAAGACAAUUACAAGUAGCAAUGAUUGAGUAAGAGAAUAUAUAUCAAAAUUUCUAGAAGAGAUUGUGGAAGAUCUGCAGAUCGUAUUGGCUAUGAUACCAUAUAGAAUUAAAUAGAAAUAUGAAGUAAGGAUCAUGAAGAUCAUCCAGCUUCAUACACUGAAGCAGUCAGAGAAAGAAUCAAAGAAGCAAAAAUAAGAGAGGAGGAGGAGGAGGAGGAGGAGGAGUUAGUUGGAAGGUUUGUCCCAUUAACUCCACAGUCAGUCAGUUAAAGGCUUUUUAGACAUUCAGACGUCAGUUAGUCUAUCAGUGUUAUUAGUCGGAUUUCAUUAUUUUCGCAUAUAUUUUCAAACUUGCA